AUUGAACGCUGGCGGCAGGCCUAACACAUGCAAGUCGAACGCGUGGCGGACGGGUGAGUAAUGUCUGGGACUCCGUCUGGUGGAGGGGGAUAACUACUAGACACGGUAUCAAAUACCGCAUACUAUCGGAUGCCCCGAUAUGGGAUUAGCUAGUAGGUGGGGUAAAGGCUCCCCUAGGCGACGAUCCCUAGCUGGUCUGAGAGGAUGACCAGCCACACGGGAACUGAGACACGGUCCAGACUCCUACGGGAGGCAGCAGUGGGGAAUAUUGCACAAUGGGCGCAAGCCUGAUGCAGCCAUGCCGCGUGUGUGAAGAAGGCCUUCGGGUUGUAAAGCACUUUCAGCGGGGAGGCGUUACUCGCAGAAGAAGCACCGGCUAACUCCGUGCCAGCAGCCGCGGUAAUUC
rnacentral:rRNA from 1 species